AUUGAACGCUGGCGGCAGGCCUAACACAUGCAAGUCGAGCGGCAGCGGGAAAGUAGCUUGCUACUUUUGCCGGCGAGCGGCGGACGGGUGAGUAAUGCCUGGGAAAUUGCCCAGUCGAGGGGGAUAACAGUUGGAAACGACUGCUAAUACCGCAUACGCCCUACGGGGGAAAGCAGGGGACCUUCGGGCCUUGCGCGAUUGGAUAUGCCCAGGUGGGAUUAGCUAGUUGGUGAGGUAAUGGCUCACCAAGGCGACGAUCCCUAGCUGGUCUGAGGGGGAGCUCAGCCACACUGGAACAGAGACACGGUCCAGACUCCUACGGGAGGCAGCAGUGGGGAAUAUUGCACAAUGGGGGAAACCCUGAUGCAGCCAUGCCGCGUGUGUGAAGAAGGCCUUCGGGUUGUAAAGCACUUUCAGCGAGGAGGAAAGGUUGAUGCCUAAUACGUAUCAACUGUGACGUUACUCGCAGAAGAAGCACCGGCUAACUCCGUGCCAGCAGCCGCCGUAACAC
rnacentral:rRNA from 1 species